UUUUGACUGAGCAGGAUAUUCUGAGACUUAAGCGUCUGCUCGCGGCUUCAGGUUCUUCCUCGACGGGUACUGCUGGUUCUGUGACUGAUGCUUCCCGCACUGAGCACCCGCCCUCUACACAGUCAGGAUCGUCGCACGCACACUCUGGUUGGGGCUGGCCCUCGCCGCCGUGAUUCUCAGGGUCUUUGGGAGUUGGACUGGCUUCAUGUUCCUUCCGCUGCCACCACCAUCGCCAGUUCCUCCGCUGCUGUCGCUUCUGUUACUGGUUCCUUCAAGCAGUGGCAUCAUCGCCUUGGUCAUAUGUGUGGUUCUCGAUUAUCGUCUUUAGUUCGUCGAGGUCUUCUGGGGUCUGUCUCAGGAGAUGUCUCUUUAGAGUGUCAGGGUUGUCGUCUUGGCAAGCAGAUUCAGCUACCAUAUUCUCAUAGUGAGUCAGUGUCUCAGCGUCCUUUCGAUUUAGUCCAUUCUGAUGUAUGGGGUCCAGCUCCUUUCACUUCGAAAGGUGGUCAUAAAUACUAUAUUAUUUUCAUCGAUGAUUUUUCUCGUUA